rnacentral:pre_miRNA from 1 species
AGAGGUCUUCCAUGAUGUAUUCACGUCAUUCCUUGAUGAAUCAUACAUGUUUGACCUUUUU